CGCCCCUCCGUCGCGGCCUAACGCCGCCACCAAUCAGCGACGAGUGAGGGAGGGGCGGGGUUUGUUGUGGAAGACCCACCCCCUCCUCUUCUAAAUUGCUUCUCCGACCUUUGGGUUCAGAGAAUUGGGAACCGGUCGUUCGCUGUCCUUUUUCGGUUCUUUGGUCAGAGGUCUGGGACUGCGACUUCUUGAUUACUUAUGUACCAUUUAUUUUCACUUGAAACCGGCAGCAAGUUAAGGUGGUUUAGAAUCUGUCCUGACGGGUGGCGUUUGGAAGCAGCACUUUACAAAACGCCUGGUCCUCUCCCUUCUUUGUCAAACCUGGUCAAAGUUAGGACUUGAGCUUUUUUUGGAGGAUCUGAGGAGCAGUGGGGAGUGGGGAAUUAGCCGCCCAAGUCCUUAAAGCUGUCACGUGCAUCAGUAUUUCCACCUCCAACGUCAGUCCAAUUCCUAUUAAUGCUUUGCUUUGUAUGGAUAGCUAAAGAUGUUUUAGAAGAUAAGGGUUGAGGCUACCGAUCCUAAGUAUUUGCAUUUUAACAUGGUGAUUUCUGAUAAAUAAAAGGAUAACCUUUCUGGGUUCUUAGGAGCAAAGAAGAUAAUGGCUGCGGAAUUGCUCUACAGCAUAAUGUAUAAGAAUUUCGUUGGGUCAUUAAUAAAUAAUGCAAUUAUUUUAUCACAUUUUCAAUAUCCUGAAGGGCAUUAGGGUUCAAACCGAGCCAAUCCUGACUCUGAUUAUACUAUCUGCCAAAACCUUUGUUCCUUUCACAGCUAAGGGUUUUUAUAAAAAUGGAUUCAGGGUCUGCUGAAAUAAAUUUUUUUUAAAAAUUUCAGUCCAUAAACCAAACAAAAAUAUCUGUCCUGGAAUGUGAUCAGGAACAAACCAGAAAACUGUGAACAUCUGAUCUUGAUACUGGCUUAUGUUGUCUCUUGUUAAGCUUUUGCUUCUUUGCAUUAUUCAUGACCAUUCAAUUAAUUUUUGUAUAGCCAUACAGGUAGGAUUAUUACCAAGUGCCUACCGUGUACCAGGAAUAGUUCUAAGCCUUGAGAAUACAGCACUAAUAAGGCAGACUCCCUGCUCAAAUAGAGCCAACUAAUGAAAAAUCGAUAAAAUAGAGACUAAAGAGAGAUCCUUAGUUGCGUUUAAAAUCUUAGUUUUUAACUUCCAGGCUGGCACAGUUUGUUAACAAAAAAAGAAAAAAAAGGAUUUUUAUUGAAUGCCAUCUAUACUGCAAGUGAUACAGAGAUUGUACUGAUCACUUUCUACACUCAAAAGUAUAUAAUCAGGUAGAGUUAAUAAAAUAAAAACAAAUCUGAAAUGUAAAACAAAAAAAUACCCUGGGAAGUUACAUAGCAAAGGAGGAAGGAAUUACAGCCCUGGUAAUGUGGGACAACACAGUGUGCAAAUUAUUUAACACAAAGCCUAAACAAGACACAUUAUUAUUAUAGCAUGUUUUAGGGAAAUAAUUCUUGUUGUUGAACUGCAAGUACAGGUAUAUCUAAGAGAUACUCAGAAGGCUGGUCCUGAUAAACAAUGCAUGUAUAAAAGAGUAAGCAGAAAUAAGCCUGGAAAGGUAAGUUAUGGUAGAAAACCAGGUCAAGAAGUUGACUUUAUAUCAGGGAAAUUACAUGUAAAACAAGCAUCGCUACACAGGCAACCAUUUACCAGUUAUAUGUGGAGAGUGAGUGAUGGACCCAAAAGGAAGACUGAUAGGAGGGGCAUUUCGGAAACAAACUCUAUGUUACUUAGCAACUGCCUAAAUAAGAGUGGGGGUCUGCAAAGCAUAGAGUGAAUGCAGAUUGUGAACACUCAAAUGAAACUAGUAUUAUUAUUAUGACACCACAGUUUUUAACUUGACUUACUGGUAGUGCUAAAAACACAUAAAAGUCCACAAAAAGAGCAGGAGAGGGAUGGGAUAGGGAAUUUUCUUAUUCUGUUUUAUUUUUCCAAGUGUUUCUUUAGAUUUUCUAGACAUUUAUAUCACCUACAUUAGAUAUCAUUUUGCCUUUUCCGUUCCAAUUAUUAUAUUUCCAAUUGUUUAUUCAUUUCAGUAGCUAAUAUUUCCAACAUGAUAUUCAGUCAGAUGGGGACAACUGAUAUCUUUUUGUUCCUGAUUUGAGCAGGAAAUUUCCUUUCAUUUCUCCAUCAAGUAAGAUGUUGGCUUUGAGAUGGAAAUUGUGUGUGUGUGUGUACAUGUAUCAUUAUAUAAUAUAUAUUGCAUAUUGAUAGGAAAUAUCUAUUCCUAUUGGGAAAUUUUUAAAAAUAUAAACAAGUGCUAAAUUGUUUUCAGAUGCAUUUUCCCUAUCUUAUUUCCUCUACUUCUUUCCUCUAUCUUAUUUCCUCUGCUUAUUUAAUGGGUUAUAUGAAUAGAUUUUAUAAUAUUGGCCCAGUAAGCAUUCCUGGAAUAAACUCCACCUGGUCAUGAUGAAUUAGUUUUUAAUAUGCUCUUGUGCUUUCUUUGCUAAUUUUGGGGUUUUUUGUUUUUUAGUUUGUGUAAUCAAUAUUCAUAGUGAAACUGAUGUGUUUUUUUGAUUGUAAUAUUAUACUCAAAUUAGAAAAUAUAUAUUUCUAAUAUAACAAGGAAAAUAAGUUUUCCUUAGUUUUCUGUGCACUGGGAUAUUUUAAGUAGCAUUUGGAUCUGGUCUUUAAAAAUUUGAUAGAAAAUUUGGUAGAAAUUCCCAAGGGAGUCUAUUCUUCUAUUUUUUUUAAAUUAUUAAUUGUUAAUUCUAAUUAUGUAUACUUGUGCUUUCUACCUUUUUCAUUUAUUGUUUUAAUUAGUAUUUUUUCUUGUUUUCUUUCAAAGCACUUCUGCAUUUACUAAUUAACUCUACUGUUUUCCAACUCAUUAAUUUUUGGUUUUAACACUAUCAACUUUUUUCAUUCCACUUUUUUUGUUUAUUAGCUUUGGAAAUUGGAUAUUUAGUUGGUAUAUUUUUCAUGUUUAUUGUUAUGGUAACUGCUUUAGCUGUAUCCUAAAAUUUCUGACUAUGAAUUUCCAAGAGAAAGUACCAUUUUUCCUUUUGAUUGCUUUAAAUUAAUGUCUGAUUUUAAAUCAUGUAGGCAGAGAAUGCUGUUUGUAUAUUUCUAUUCUUUGGAUUAUUGAGGUCUUCUUUGUGGCCUAAAAUGUCACUUUUGUGAAAAUUCAAUGUGCAACUUGAAAGAAGGUAUUUCCUCUUAAUAGUAUAUAGAAUUUGAUAGAUACCUAUGAGAUCUGCCUUAUUGAUUAUGUUAUUUAUGUCUUUUACAUCUGUAGUAAUAUUUGUUACCUUCAUUUUCUUGGAUUCUGAGAGAUUUGUUAAAAUCUCCAAUACUGUGUUUUGUCUGUUUAUUCUCACAUCUCCUAUAGUUUCUCCUUCACAAAAAUUGUUGAUAUAUUAUUUGGUAAGCAAGUAUUAAUAAUAGUUACAUUUUCAUUAUGAAUGGUAGUCUUCAACAUUGUAACGUGUUAUUUUAUUUUUAAUGCUUUUUGAUGCAAAUACUACUAGUCAAACACUGAGGUUGUACUGAAGGAAACUGAGGCUGUUUAUCUGAAAUAGUAUUACAGACCUUAAAUUAAUACGUAGCAUUUUUAAACUAAGUGUCUUGUACUCUUUAAUGAUUUCAGCUCAGAACCUAGUGGCAGUAAUGGGG
rnacentral:lncRNA from 1 species